UUGCACUAUAUUUCUUAAUUCAGUUUUAUACACUGAUGUUUGUAUUUUUAAAGAAAUUUAGCAUAUUGGAGGUGUAUUAGUCUGUUCUCAACACUGCUUUAAAGAGCUGCCUUAGACUGGGUAAUCUAGAAAGGAAAGAGCUAAUUGACGCACAGUUCUGCAUGUCUUGGGAUGCCUCAGGAAACUUACAAUCAUGGCAGAAGGCAAAGAGAAAGCAAGGCACCUUCUUUACAAGGUAGUAGUGGGGAGAAUGAACACAGGAGAAACUGCCAAACACUUAUAAAACCAUCAGAUUACAUGAGAACUCACUCACUGUCAUGAGAACUACCAUGGGGGAAACUGCCCCCAUGAUUUAGUUACCUCCACCUGGUUUCUCUCUUGACACGUGAGGAUUACGGGGAUUAUAAUUAAGGUGAGAUUUUUGGUGGGGACACAGCCAAACCAUAUCAGGAGGACUUGACAUUUCAUUUACUUAAUGAAGAAGGAAGUUUGAUGCUAUAGCAGAUUUAUAUAUGGGUUAAGUUCCCAAAUGUUUCCAGUUUGAGUAUACCCAAAAAUGAAAUCAAUGGUAAAAAGAACCUUAUGUUAUAGAUUGUAUAUGAAGGUAUUGAACAGGAGAAUUUAAAAACGAAGUGUUUGUUCUGCAGUCUACGUAACUGGACUUAUUUUUAAAUGUCUUACAUUUGGAUAAUUGAGUUAUUGUUCCAAUUUGUUUUUUAUUUGAGCUAUAGCUCUAUUUUUAUUUUCCAAAAAGUUAUAUCUUGCUAUUUGAAUAAAACAAAAUUUGGAAUCUUAAAAUUACAGAGCUCUUGGGUACUUUUUCAUUUCAUAAAGCCACAUGUGGCUAUCUGUGGCUAUGUGUACAGUUCUCUACAUAUACAUACAAAUUUUAUAUAUAUAUAAAUUUCAUUAUGUUUAAAAUUAUUUUUACAUAGCUGAUCAGAACUUUAUAUUAUAUCUGUUCUGGGGACAUUGUUUUUUAUUGAUGAACAUUCUCGAUUUAACAGUGUUUUUAGGUGAUUUUCUUUCUCAAGAUGUUUCAGUUUAGCUUUCAAGAGAAGGGAAUUAAUGAUGAAAUACAGAGUUUUAGGCCAGGCGCGGUGGCUCAUGCCUAUAAUUCCAGCACUUUGGGAGGCUUAGGUGUACAGAUUACUUGAGGCCAGGAGUUUGAGACCAGCCUGGCCAACAUGGUGAAACGCUGUCUCUACUAAAAAUAGAAAAAUAAGCUUUAUGCCCACCCCCCACUCCCCACCAACUGCCGCUCUGCCUACAUCGCGCUCCUUCAGAGCUUUGGGCUCCUGCUAACCUAGCGCCACCGUGGUCUCCCUUCAGCACCAUCAGAUUAUUUACCGGUACCUCAUCAGCCACAUUGAGAUGUUCUCUGACAUCUACAAGAUCUGGGAGAUCGCUGAAGAUCUGUGCCUGGAGGUGGAGAGGAAGAUGGUCAGUAGGAUAGAAGGUAACAUUGAUGGUUCGAUUAUUGGUGGAAAUGCCUCUGCUGAAGGCCCUAAGGGCGAAUGUACGGAAAGCACAGUAAUCACUGGUGUCGAUAUUGUCAUGAACCAUCACCUGCAGGAAACAUUCCACAAAAGAAGCCUACAAGAAGUACAUCAAAGAUUACAUGGAAUCAAUCAAAGGCAAACUUGAACAGAGACCAGAAAGAGUAAAACCUUUUAUGACAAGGGCUGCAGAACAAAGCAAGCACAUCUUUGCUAAUUUCAAAAACUACCAAUUCUUUGUUGGUGAAAUCAUGAAUCCAAAUGGCAUGGUAUUGGACUACUGUGAGGAUGGUGUGACCCCAUAUAUGAUUUUCUUUAAGGAUGGUUUAGAAAUGGAAAAAUAUUAACAAAUUUGGCAAUUACUUCGGAUCUAUCACCUGUCAUUGUUAACUGGCUUCUGCUUGUCAUCUACACAACACCAGGACUUAAGACAGAGGGAACUGAUGUCAUCUUGAGCUCUUCAUUUAUUUUGACCAUGAUUUAUUUGGAGUGGAGGCAUUGUUUUUAAGAAAAACAAGUCAUGUAGGUUCCUGGAGAAGCUAGAUACUCGUUGUAAGCUACUAGAAAGAAUUACAACUCAUCAAUUAACUUCUACAAAACUACUUCUGGGACUGGAAUAUAAAAAAGAAUCAAAGGUUUUGACUGUGAUUUGCAAUAAAGGGAAAGACCAUCCUCAUAGCAGUGCCAACAUCUGAAGUGGAGCCUUACACAUUUCACCAUCUACAAUGGAAGUAGUUAACUGGAAGAGUUUACCCAGAGAAUAAAAAGAGACUCAUUCAGU